CAAAUUAUUUGCAUUCACGUCAUUGCAAUUUUUCCCGCCCAAAGACAUUAGAUGAAAACAAACCACUUGACUGCCAUACGUCAUAACAUCAACACCUUAGUAUAUUUGAUACUUCACGUAAUACAAUAGUAAAUAAACACUAGUCGUAUUACCAAUGUAAAAAAAAAACCAAAAAGCAAUGGACACCCCGAAAACAGCUAACAUUUUUCAUUCGACGUUUCGACUAUCUUGCAGUCAUCACCAGGAAUGACGCUACGGAAAAAUGUACAUGUUAUAUAUACAAGAUCAAAUGACAUAUGAUAUGAUAUGAUAUGCUAAGUUAACUAAAGAUUACGAGUUCAUUUGAGGCUUUAAAUUUGCAUCCAUGGUUAAGUUCCGGUUUCUGACGGUGAAUGUAGAGAGACUCUUUGAAAAGUAAUAAGGACCAAUGUCUAGAUUUAUCUAAAAUUCUACAGUUGUUAAGGAUAAUU